rnacentral:lncRNA from 1 species
GGGGAGCUGGCCUGGGGCUCCAAUCUCACCCCGCCAAAUAGCCCUUGUGCCCCCCAAAAUUUUUUAUUGGGGCUGCCUCUCGGGUUCUACCUGGACUCCCAAUCAAAGGCAACUCAACACACCUGCCUUCAAUUGGAAGUCCCAAUCACCAACACAAACAUUCACACACACAAACUGCCACGUCCUGACCCCAAAACGAAUACAAUAGCUCCAUCUGCUGGUCAGGACAUGACAAUCGUAACUCCUAAACCAAAUCGUAACUCCUAAACCUAACCCUAACUCCUAAAUCUAAACCUAAACCUAACCAUAACUCCUAUACCUAAACCUAACCAUAACUCCUAUACCUAAACCUAAUCGUAACUCCUAAACCUAAUCGGAACUCCUAAACAUAAUCGUAACUCCUAAACCUAAUCGUAACUCCUAACCUUAUUUCUAACCCUAAAUGGAACCCCUGAGCCUAAAAUAGCAUUUUUUCUCAUGUGGAUCUUCAAAAUGUCCCCACUUGGCCACAUUUUCCUUGUUUUACUAUCCUUAUGAUGAUGCCUAGUACCCACAAGGACAGUUCAACAAAAACACACAGAGAGGAAGGGCUGUACAGUGAACACACUGAGUCACAUUUCAUAUAAAGAGACAUUCCCCUGGGGUCACUUGUCAACCAGGCAUACAUCCCUGACCUCUCCUUCCACAUCACACUGCAUUGUGUCCUACGCUAGAGAAUAGGAUGAUGUCAUUUCAUUAUAAUUGAUUGAUUGUUUAAUUAGUUUGCCAUUUGAGUGAAACUGGAAUACCUGGUUUUGGAUGGUGAUGUGAUCUUUAUGUAAAGGAAGGAAGGGGAAGCUGAAUGGUUGGCUGAGUGGAGGUCUCUAUGAUAAGAUAGGAGAACAGUGUGAUCUUUAUGUAAAGGAAGGAAGGGGGAGCUGAAUGGUUGGCUGAGUGGGGGUCUCUAUGAUAAGAUAGGAGAACAGUGUGAUCUUUAUGUAAAGGAAGGAAGGGGGAGCUGAAUGGUUGGCUGAGUGGGGGUCUCUAUGAUAAGAUAGGGAGAACAGUGUGAUCUUUAUAGUGUUGUAGAGGAGGCUCUGUGGUGAGGACAAGGCCGCUGGAGGACGUCUGAAACCAUAGUUCUCCCUCAGGACCUAUUACUGACUGUAGAUCUACCAGAGCUGAGUCCCUCACUACAGCAGGUGUAGAUCUACCAGAGCUGAGUCUCUCACUACAGCAGGUGUAAAUCUACCAGAGCUGAGUCCCUCACUACAGCAGGUGUAGAUCUACCAGAGCUGAGUCCCUCACUACAGCAGGUGUAGAUCUACCAGAGCUGAGUCUCUCACUACAGCAGGUGUAGAUCUACCAAAGCUGAGUCUCUCACUACAGCAGGUGUAAAUCUACCAAAGCUGAGUCUCUCACUACAGCAGGUGUAGAUCUACCAAAGCUGAGUCUCUCACUACAGCAGGUGUAGAUCUACCAGAGCUGAGUCCCUCACUACAGCAGGUGUAGAUCUACCAGAGCUGAGUCUCUCACUACAGCAGGUGUAGAUCUACCAGAGCUGAGUCUCUCACUACAGCAGGUGUAGAUCUACCAGAGCUGAGUCCCUCACUACAGCAGGUGUAGAUCUACCAAAGCUGAGUCUCUCACUACAGCAGGUGUAAAUCUACCAGAGCUGAGUCUCUCACUACAGCAGAUGGUGUGUGUGUGUGUGUCGAUAUGAUAUAAGUGAUGACUCAUGAAUGAUGUUAAGAGGAAGUAGUAACCUAAAUAUAUCUCUCUGGCCUUCAUAUAGUUCCCUGUCUUAAUAUAUAUAUCUGGCCUUCAUAUAGUUCCCUGUCUUAAUAUAUCUCUCUGGCCGUCAUAUAGUUCCCUGUCUUAAUAUCGCUCUGGCCUUCAUAUAGUUCCCUGUCUUAAUAUAUAUAUCUGGCCUUCAUAUAGUUCCCUGUCUUAAUAUAUAUCUCUGGCCUUCAUAUAGUUCCCUGUCUUAAUAUAUCUCUCUGGCCGUCAUAUAGUUCCCUGUCUUAAUAUAUCUCUCUGGCCUUCAUAUAGUUCCCUGUCUUAAUAUAUCUCUCUGGCCUUCAUAUAGUUCCCUGUCUUAAUAUAUCUCUCUGGCCGUCAUAUAGUUCCCUGUCUUAAUAUAUCUCUCUGGCCUUCAUAUAGUUCCCUGUCUUAAUAUAUCUCUCUGGCCUUCAUAUAGUUCCCUGUCUUAAUAUAUCUCUCUGGCCUUCAUAUAGUUCGCUGUCUUAAUAUAUCUCUCUGGCCUUCAUAUAGUUCCCUGUCUUAAUAUAUCUCUCUGGCCUUCAUAUAGUUCCCUGUCUUAAUAUAUCUCUCUGGCCUUCAUAUAGUUCCUUGUCUUAAUAUAUCUCUCUGGCCGUCAUAUAGUUCCCUGUCUUAAUAUAUCUCUCUGGCCUUCAUAUAGUUCCCUGUCUUAAUAUAUCUCUCUGGCCUUCAUAUAGUUCCCUGUCUUACUCUGUACCCUGCCUCUCAUGUUCUCAGUGGCCCUGAGGCAAGGACAACAUGUUUUUGUUGGGUGGCGUUUGGACUAACUGAGCACGAAAACAACAGGUGGUGAGGUGUUGAGCAAGAAGUCUGAUC